AGCAGCUGCGAUAAUUCCAGCUCCAAUAGCGUAUAUUAAAGUUGUUGCAGUUAAAAAGCUCGUAGUUGAAUUUCGGGGUUAGUAGGCUGGUCAUGCCUCCGGUAUGUACUGGUCUCACUGAUUCCUCCUUCCUGAUGAACCGUAAUGCCAUUAAUUUGGUGUUGCGGGGAAUUUGGACUGUUACUUUGAAAAAUUAGAGUGUUUAAAGCAGGCUAACGCUUGAAUACAUUAGCAUGGAAUAAUGAAAUAGGACGUUCGAUCCUAUUUUGUUGGUUUCUAGGAUUGACGUAAUGAUUAAUAGGGAUAGUUGGGGGCAUUAGUAUUCAAUUGUCAGAGGUGAAAUUCUUGGAUUUAUUGAAGACUAACUACUGCGAAAGCAUUUGCCAAGGAUGUUUUCAUUAAUCAAGAACGAAAGUUAGGGGAUCGAAGACGAUCAGAUACCGUCGUAGUCUUAACCAUAAACUAUGCCGACUGGGGAUCGGAUGAUGUUAAUUUUUUAAUGACUCAUUCGGCGCCUUAU
rnacentral:rRNA from 1 species